rnacentral:rRNA from 1 species
AUUGAACGCUGGCGGCAUGCCUUACACAUGCAAGUCGAACGGCAGCACGGGUGCUUGCAUCUGGUGGCGAGUGGCGAACGGGUGAGUAAUACAUCGGAACGUACCUUAUCGUGGGGGAUAACGCAGCGAAAGCUGUGCUAAUACCGCAUACGCCCUGAGGGGGAAAGCGGGGGAUCGCAAGACCUCGCGCGAUUAGAGCGGCCGAUGCCUGAUUAGCUUGUUGGUGGGGUAAAAGCCCACCAAGGCGACGAUCAGUAGCUGGUCUGAGAGGACGAUCAGCCACACUGGGACUGAGACACGGCCCAGACUCCUACGGGAGGCAGCAGUGGGGAAUUUUGGACAAUGGGGGCAACCCUGAUCCAGCAAUGCCGCGUGAGUGAAGAAGGCCUUCGGGUUGUAAAGCUCUUUUGUCAGGGAAGAAACACCGGCUCUAACACAGUCUGGGAAUGACGGUACCUGAAGAAUAAGCACCGGCUAACUACGUGCCAGCAGCCGCCGUAA